rnacentral:rRNA from 1 species
GACGUAGGGCGCGAGCGUUGUCCGGAAUUACUGGGCGUAAAGAGCUCGUAGGUGGUUUGUCGCGUUGUUCGUGAAAACUCACAGCUCAACUGUGGGCGUGCGGGCGAUACGGGCAGACUUGAGUACUGCAGGGGAGACUGGAAUUCCUGGUGUAGCGGUGGAAUGCGCAGAUAUCAGGAGGAACACCGGUGGCGAAGGCGGGUCUCUGGGCAGUAACUGACGCUGAGGAGCGAAAGCGUGGGGAGCGAACAGG